CAGAUACAUGUGCGCAUGCACGUGUACACACAUGCAUGCAUACACACAUGCAUUUGUAGAUAUAUGUGUAGGUGUGUACACACAACAUACACAUAUGCAUCCACACAUACACAUAUACAUAUGAGGUGGCACGUUCAGCUUUCAAGAGGACCAUCAGGGACUUUGUCACCUUGACAACUUUAGCCUUGCCUUCUAGUCACCUUGCCGGAACACUUGUGCCCGUGUUUUUCUAGCACUGUCAUAAGAAUACUUUUACCUAUCAAGGCAACUGGGGGUUAGGAGAGCUUUUUGCACAGGAGGCUACUUGGCUUUGUUUGAAAACUGAUGAUACAUGAGGAUUGGGGUGGUGAAUCACUCACAUGUUUCUUCAUAUGAAAAAUGAGGACUGUGGGAUUCUCUGGCUGGAUCUCAGCACCUAGAAAUGGAUCUGGGCAAUAGGAACUGCUCAGUAUUAGCUACCGCUUUGGUUGCCUUCUCCUUGCGGAAAGCUGGCCUCUCACACUGAAUUUGUAUCAUAGGCACUCAUGAGGGUCUUGACUGUAUCAAUAUCUGAUGAGAGAUUUUAGUGCAGUUCUGUUAUCGUGGCUGAUUUGCUCAUUUGGUAGCUAGCAUCCAGCUUCUUGUGAACAUUAAAAUAAAAUAAAAUAGAUUAUGGAGGAAUAGAAUACAGAUACGUAGUAAGGUAUUAUUUUCCAGACAAAAUGGAUUUGGAUAAAAGAAUCUAAUUAAGAACUUGUGCAUGAUUCUUUUAAAAUUCUUUUGAAUCCAUUUUUUUUUUUUUGGCCUGUUUUCAAGUCUCCGAUUUUUGUCACCCUUCUCACACCAGGUCAGAGAGAUAGCUAAUGGUCAGAAGGAAUCUUCCAGCAAUGACCAUAGCGCUUUCUCCUGCCUGCAGAUGCCUCUUUUUAUUCAGCCUUUAUGGGAAGUAGCAGCACCAUCCAGUUCUCAGAGAGCAAGCUCUGGAGUAACUGAGCUAACCCCAGUUACCCCAGUGGAUUUACAGAUUGAGGUUACAACCCAGCAGGGUUCUCUUCCUGGAAAGAAUAGCCUUCCCUCUAAGGUUUCAAAUAGACCCUGGGUGAGGAAGGAGCCCUAAACAGCUUGAAAAAUUGAAUGCUCUUUGGGCAAAGCAGGAAGCCGUCCUAUGGAAGAGCAUCAUUUGAGCAUAAAUCAGGUUAUCAGGACAAACAGAGUGUUCAGGAGGUCAAGAUGGUUAAGCAGAGACCCUGACCAGAAUGUCCGUGGCGGAGAGAAACAAUCUUGUUGGGAAAAGGAUGACAAUAAUUGGGGACUUAGAAUAAAGGCUAAAAAUGAUUCAAAGAGAAUGCAAAAAGAAUCAGGCACAAAUCGUUUACUAUACUCUGUUAUGCAAAUCUCACCUUACUAUGUGUUUGUAUUCUAUUCCUCCACAAUCUUUAUUUUAUUUUAAUGUUCAAAGAGACUUGUAGGUGCCAAUUAAAUGAACAAAACAGCCAGAGACAACAGAACUGCCCUAAAAAAAGUCCCGCAUCAGCUCUUGAGAGCAGGUUCCUUAAAGGUGAACAAUAUUCCACAUACAAGGACUUUUUCAGCACCAUGCAUUAGAAAUGGAAGUGAAUGUUUAUUAUUUUUUGUAUAAGUUGGUUGAUAUGGCUUUUCAGCUUCCCUCAGUAUCAUUAUCCAAAUUUUGUAGAUGACACUAAAGCUCAGAGGAGUUAAACCAUUUUCCUUAAAUCACAUAGCUUUAAAUAGGAAAACCAGAUAUGAAAAGCAGAUUUUUUUUCUAAAUUAAAAAACCAAAAACAAAAACACGUGAGCUCUUGCUUUACCCUAGCACAUAGUCUUGCCAUCUGUUUUCUCCACACCAGGUGAUUCCUGUAACAUUCAUUCACAUAACAAAUACAAAUAAAUGAGUGGAUUCAUUCAUCAGAUAUUAAUUCAGAAUCCCUUUUGUGCCUUCCAGAAAUCUGGACCAUCUCACAACCCCCAGAGAGUCUCAGCUACAAGGAACAAGUGAUAAUGCCAUCCCACUUUUAUAAACACACACACACACACAUGCAAUACACACACAAUCAUUUAAUCAUUUUUAAUUAUUUAAUUAUUUUUUAAAAAUCAGUGACACUUUAGCUGGGCAGGUCUAGAUAGGUCUUCUUUGCUGGGACGUGUCUUUUUCUGUCCUGGAAUACCCUAAACUUCACAUUUUGGCAGCGUGAGUUUUCCCUUUGUGACUUUCUCCUUCUUCCCUUUUUUCCUCCUUCUUUGCAGAGAAUGAGUAGCCACUGCACCUUGCCCUGCGCCAUCAAUGAGAAGAUCUGCUCUUAGUAGAGCCCUGCUUUCCCGCUGAAGGCCCUGAAAUCACCUGUGUUCCAGGCCACCCACUAAGGAUAAACAAAGCUUCCCUGAUAUGGGGAAUUAGCUCAAGUGGUAGAGCGCUUGCUUAGCAUGCAAGAGGUAGUGGGAUCAAUGCCCACAUUCUCCAAGCUUUAUUAUUUAGGUACCCAAACCCGAGUCAGUGUCUGAGAGCAAGACACUGCUCUCGGUGUCUUUGGUUCAAGACAUAGGAGCAGCAACAAUACAGGACUGGUGACAGCUUCCUGCUGGCAUUCAGUAUAGUGUAGAUCUACUGUGUAAUUAAUUUUCUGUUUCUUCGAGGAGCUGUGAAACCAAAGGACAUAUAAAACUGCUCUUUUCUCCCUGUUUCUGCCUGCAGCUUGGUCCUAAAUGUGAGACAAUUGUGAAAAGUGGAGGACAGAGCCACCUGGUUAAAUACAGCCCCAGCUUUCUGGUGAGAGGACUGAAACCAAGAUGUGUCAAGUAACUAGAAUGUGCCUGGACAGAUACUGUAGAAAGCAAAACCAUAAAGUUGUUCAUGAGCUUGUGGACGCACCUGCCAGCUGUGAAUAAGUGGCUCUAAUCCCGAACAACUUACCUAAAAAGAGCCUGAGAGCUGAACUGUGCAAUGGCCCACUUUCCAGUCCUCACUGACCACUGGGUUGCACACACUUUGGAGAUCUCUGAACAGCAGUGUCAAGGCUUUCAAAUAGAGUUAUCUUUGAAACGACAACACAUGAAAGUCUGGUUGGUACUUGGAGCUUAAAUACAAGGCAAUUGUGUGCCUGCAAAAACAAAAAUAGCAAUAUUAUCCUUAAGAUUUCAACAAGACACAGUGUCUCAUCACAUAAUCCAAAGAAGUCCAGGUUACAAGCCCCACAAUAUUCAGCAUUAUGAAAAAACAGGGAGAUCUUAAUUCACAUGGCAAAGAGAAUCCUCGAAUAACAAUAUUGAGAGGACACAGAUGUCAAAAUCAUCUGACACAUACAUUAAAGCAGAUAUUAUAACAAUGCUCCUAGAAUCGGGGAUAACAUUCGUGAAGUGAAUGGAAAGUUGGAAAGUCUCACCAAAUAUUUCGAAUACAUAAACACCAAUUUAAACUUAAGAAUUAAAAAAAUGUAUUAACCAAAACUCUUAGGGGAAAUAAAAAGCUUAAUUGGAGGAUCUCCAUAAUCGAAUGCAGAAGACUAAGGAAAAAGUCAAUGAACUUGAAAACAGAACACGAAUACCUACAUAAUCUGAACUAUAGAGAGAAAGGAGGAUUUUAUUGUCUCUGAACAGAGGCUCAGGCACAAAUAAAAAAUAACAAAUCCAACAUUCACAUUAUUGUAAUCUGGAAAGAAGAGGACAAAGUGGUCUUUGUGGGAUAAAACUUUGAACAAUUAAUAGCUGAAAAUGGUUCAAAUUUGUCAAAAGAUAUAAACCAGAUUUUUAAAGUUCAGUAAAUGUCAAUCAGGAUAAACCCAAAGAAACCCAUAGCAAGGCAUAUCAUAAUCAAACUGCUGAAAACUAAGAAAAUACAAAACAAUUUUGAAAGCAGCCAAAGGGAAAUGAAAGAGAAACUACCAAAUGAAUGAUUGUAGAUUUCGCAUCAGGAACCAUAGGGGCCAGAAAAAAUGUCAUAACAUUCGGUAAGUAACAAAAGAAAAAGACAUAUCGACCCAGAAUGCUAUGUGGAGCAAAAGUAUCUUCCAGACAUAAAGGCAAAUAAAUGCAUUCUCAGUGGAAGGUAAGUAAAUACAUUCUCAUUCUUAGGAAGACUGCUGGAAAAGAAUUAGCAAAGAUUUGAGAUAAGAAAAAUGAUACCAGAAGGAAACUUAGAACAUCAUCAGUGAAGGAACAAAAGCAGAAAUAGAACAUGUCUGGGUAGACAUAACAGACUAUUAUUCUUCCCUUGAGUUCCUUAAGGAGACUACGGAAAAGAAGAGUGACUAAGAUCUCUGAAGAAGGGAAAAGCUAGAUGACUGGGCCACAAGAGGAAAAAAAGCAGCAAGACAGACAAUGAGUAGCCACUGCUGUUUGCCCUGGCCCAUCAAUGAGAAGAUCUGCUCUUAGAGCCCUGCUUUCCUGCUGAAGGCCCUGAAAUCACCUGUGUUCCAGGCCACCUGCUAACAAUAAAUAAUGCUGCCCUGAUGUGGGGAAUUAGCUCAAGUGGUAGAGCGCUUGCUUAGCACGCAAGAGGUAGUGGGAUCGAUGCCCACAUUCUCCAAGCUUUAUUAUUUAGACAUCGUGUCUCCAAACACUCAGGUCUCCAAACCCAAGUUAGUGUCUGAGAACAGGAUGCUGCUUUGGUUCAAGACGUAGGAGCAGCAAUAAUAGAGGGCUGGUGAUGGCUCCCUCUUGGCAUUCAGUAUAGUGUAGAUCUACCAUGUAAUUAAUUCUCUGUUUCUUUGAGGAGCUGUGAAACCAAGGGACAUAUACAACUGCUCUUUUCUCCCUGUUUCUACCUGCAGCUUUGUCCUAAAUGUGAGACAAUUAUGAAAAGUGCAGCGCAGAGCCACUUGGGUAAAUACAGCCCCGGCUUUCUGCUCAGGGGACAGAGUUUGAGGCACUGCAGAGGAACCGGCCAAAGUAUGAGACCCAUAUAUUGAGAGUAACAGAGUGUAAAGUUCAAAAAAAUCAAAAUAUUUAAAGAUUUAUCAUGGGUCUUGAUGACAUGAUGGAAUCUCUCUACUCUCUGGACUUAUUAUGUGUGGUAAUAAAUUUACUUUUUAAAAGCCA
rnacentral:tRNA from 1 species